CCUACGGGAGGCAGCAGUGGGGAAUUUUGGACAAUGGGGGAAACCCUGAUCCAGCCAUUCCGCGUGUGCGAUGAAGGCCUUCGGGUUGUAAAGCACUUUUGGCAGGAAAGAAAUCGCACAAAUUAAUACUUUGUGUGGAUGACGGUACCUGCAGAAUAAGCACCGGCUAACUACGUGCCAGCAGCCGCGGUAAUACGUAGGGUGCAAGCGUUAAUCGGAAUUACUGGGCGUAAAGCGUGCGCAGGCGGUUCGGAAAGAGAGGUGUGAAAUCCCAGGGCUUAACCUUGGAACUGCACUUUUAACUCCCGAGCUAGAGUAUGUCAGAGGGGGGUGGAAUUCCGCGUGUAGCAGUGAAAUGCGUAGAUAUGCGGAGGAACACCGAUGGCGAAGGCAGCCCCCUGGGAUGAUACUGACGCUCAUGCACGAAAGCGUGGGGAGCAAACAGGAUUAGAUACCCUGGUAGUCCACGCCCUAAACGAUGUCAACUAGCUGUUGGGGGCUUCGGCCCUUAGUAGCGCNGCUACGCGUGAGUGACCGCCGUGGGAGGUACGGUCGCGAGAGUUAAACGUUAAAGUAAGUUAGACGGCGUGAGACGUGCCGACGGACGACGACGAGGGAGGAGG
rnacentral:rRNA from 1 species